rnacentral:rRNA from 1 species
UACGUAGGUGGCAAGCGUUGUCCGGAUUUACUGGGCGUAAAGAGCGCGCAGGCGGUCGUUCAAGUCGCGUGUGAAAGCCCCCGGCUCAACUGGGGAGGGUCACGCGAUACUGAUCGACUCGAAGGCAGGAGAGGGUAGUGGAAUUCCCGGUGUAGUGGUGAAAUGCGUAGAUAUCGGGGAGGAACACCAGUGGCGAAGGCGACUACCUGGCCUGUUCUUGACGCUGAGGUGCGAAAGCGUGGGGAGCAAACAGGG